rnacentral:rRNA from 1 species
UACGUAGGGGGCGAGCGUUGUUCGGAUUCAUUGGGCGUAAAGGGUGCGUAGGUGGCGCCGUAAGUGGGGUGUGAAAUCUCGGGGCUUAACUCCGAAACUGCAUUCGAUACUGCCGUGCUUGAGGACUGGAGAGGAGACUGGAAUUUACGGUGUAGCGGUGAAAUGCGUAGAUAUCGUAAGGAAGACCAGUGGCGAAGGCGGCAUCCUGGACCAUUACUGACGCUGAGGCGCGAAAGCUAGGGGAGCAAACGGG